ensembl:lncRNA
CUCCUAGCAACCCAGCGGCGAUAAAGACUAAACACAGGCAUCUUGUCAUCUUUAGAGAGCUCUCAGUUCCAUGUUGUAGAACUAGAGUCAUUUCUUUAUUAGCCAUCUUUUCUGCUGUUUCUUAACCAUCCUUUCCUUACCACGAGGGAACCAUUUCUCUUCUUGUUCUCUUCUCUCCUCUGGUCGCUCACCCUUAACUCCUCUGUCCUCCCUGGUCACUCACACCUCUCGCCCUUCCACCCAGGUAAGGCCUACUCAGAUGCUUAGGCCCACAGAGAUGCAAAACUAGGAGGCCUGUUACCCUGAGGCCAUGGUAAACAAUAGUAGCCUUACUGGCAUUAACAAUACAAUAGUGGGCUGGAGCUUUCCGGUGUUCCUGUUUAGUGAAACCCAAGGCUGGAUCUCAAAAUAUUCCAUAGCGGAAAUAUUUUGGUCCCCCACAGAUACUGGAAUCAUGGGGGGAGGGAGCUAGCAGAUAGGUGGGCUUAAGCACCCUGCCUCACCAUGCUUCCACUGACUUUUCUAUCGCAAUAGAGCCCUAGCAGUAACACCAUCAUCCACUCCAUAGUUACAGACAGGAUGCCAAGAUCCGGGUCCACCACAGUGAGAGGAUGGAAACACGCUGCCUGGAGACUCCCCUGGCAGCAUCUGUGACCCUGGCAGAGAGAGACAGGAAGACGAUGUAGAGGACGGUAGAGCCAGAGGCAGAAAUGGGUUAGCUCACAGCUGAAGAUGUCUCAGGGAGAGGUAAGUCCUUUAAUUCGCAGUUGGUUGUUGUUCUCACAGGCCACAGGCAUGGUGACGGGUUUGACAGCCCCAGCACUGUUUGCAGGAUGAGUAGUAACGUCAGGCACUUCGCAUAAAAUCCAAAACCCAAGUCUUUUUGAAUCCCUGUGUGUAAAUGGAGUUCUUGACUUUUGUCUCUACCCCCAACCAGCACAGUUCCUUCCCUGAGUUGGCGACAACCCCCCCCCCAUCUUUUCUCCCCACAUUCUCCAAACUCUUCCUCUCCUCCAGCUCUCCACAGCCCACUGAAAAGAGUCUUCUCAUAGGGGAAUAGUGAGUGUUUUUCUUAGCUAUCUUUGUGCAGCCCACACUCACAUGAACACGCCGACAGCACCCAGGGCUGUUCACUUCUCCUUUACCACUGGAUUGAUGAGACACCAUAAAGCAGGGGUGAGCCUGGCACAGCAUGGGUGCUCCCCACCCUUCCACACAGCUGCGGGUGAACUUGCACCUAAAGAACCAGUCACUCCGCACGUCGCUUCGUCUAGCUGCGCCUCAGACUCCAGGUCUGUAAAGUCUCACCGGAGAUGACCUCAAAAGCCCCGUGCAUUUGUGAGAGCUAACCUUGAAGCAGCCCCUCUGAGGGUUGAGGCACGAGGCUGAUGAGGGUCAAUGGUUUCAUCAGACGACAGCAUCUUUCCUGUUUUCCCAUCUCCUCUCCCACGAGCACAGGGCAGAAUCGCCAGGCGGAUUUGCAUCAUCCAGAGCCCCAGGAGGCCCACUCUGUUAGCUGAGUCAUAUCUCAGCUGACACAUGCUGUUGUAGCCCUUCAGAUCUGCCUGGGCAUGGAGAACGCUAGAGCAGAGACCCAAGGGACAUCGUGCUUGAAAAUAAAGCGCCAGCACAGAGCAGACUCCCGAAGCAUGCAUCCCAGAUGUCUCUGGACUAUUUAAUUUUGCUAAUGGAAAAUGGCUGAGUUAACAACCCUCACAAGCAUUUCUGUAGGGAGUUUGUGUCUACGUGUUUCAUAUUUGCGGGUGGACUUAGG